CGAGCCGGCCGGGCAAUCGCUGGCCGCACGGGUUGACCCGUCGCGGCGGGAGGAAAGUCCGGGCUCCGGCGGACGGGACGCCAGGUAACGCCUGGGGGGCGCAAGCCCACGGAAAGUGCCACAGAAAAUAAACCGCCCGGGGCUCGUUUCGGCGCCGGGUAAGGGUGAAAAGGUGCGGUAAGAGCGCACCGCGCGGCUGGCAACAGCCGUGGCAGGGUAAACCCCGUUUGGAGCAAGGCUGAAUAGGGAAGCAAUGCGUAUGUCCGCGCGCGCUUCCGGGUGAGCCGCUUGAGGCCGCCGGCGACGGCGGUCCUAGAUGAAUGAUUGUUCUCGACAGAACCCGGCUUACAGGCCGGCUUGCCCC
rnacentral:RNase_P_RNA from 1 species